CCAUGGUGAUUCGUCCCUAACCUGAUAUUCCGGAUCUUCCAAUGGUGCACUCAUCAUCACUGCAACUGAGUCCAUCUGUUUUGCUGCUGGUUGUCCUCUUCUGAUCAUGCAAAAAUGAAGAAACCAGAGCAAAUUUUAUUUACCACAAUCUCAAAAACAGCAGCAGAAUAAUGAAGAAAAUAAGAAUCUUUCAGAAAUCCAAGGGUUUUUUUUUGGGGGGGGAAAAGGAAGCGACAAUUUUCAUGGAAUAGUUACAUUUGCUGUUUCUACUACAACCCAGUAAGACAUCCAUGGCACCAUCAAAGUCAGACAACUUGGGCUGAUGUAAAAAGCUGAGCAGGCUGAACCUGAUUAGUGUUUAGAUAAGGGAUCAUCAGGAAAUACCAGAGCUGUGGACAUUACGGGGAAACCUGAAAACACAUCCUGGAAGGAGGCAGUAGAAAACUACGCCUGAAAAGAAAACUACAUGGACAUUGCCGUAAAAUUGCUGGUUGCUGAGCUUGACUCGAAGACUGUUCUCCGUUGACCAUACAGACUUUAACGUGGGGAAACAUGCAAACAUUUGUGCAUGCACACACACAUGACUCUAAAAAGAAAGACAAACUAAAAUGGCUUAAGCUGUGUAUUUUUUUUAUUUUUGGCAAUAAAUAAAAUAUAUAUUCUGUCUAUAUGUGAUUUACAGAUAGAAUUUUAUUUCUUGAUUUCUUUUUUCAGUGUCACCAGAAUUUCAAUUUCCCUUUAAGGAUUUUCCCCCUUGAAAUAAACUGUAUCUGCUAAGACUCAAUACUACAAGAGGGAAAGAUGGUAAAUUUCUACCAGGCACCAGGCUCUUUAGUCUAACAUGGUCCUCCUGGCCAUUUGUCUCUGAAUUAUUAUUACCCUUUCUCAAUCAAUCGGCUCCUUCAAAAACCUUGAAAUUGCAAAAACCCACCAUUGCAAAAUCAGCACUGGCCUAUACUGUCCCUCCUGACUGAUAGAUUCAUACUUGAAUAUUAAUCUUGGUAACAGAACUAGAGCUAGAUUGACAGUCUAUUAAAAAAAACCUGAAAUAAUUACAGCACCUUAAUGACAAUGUUCACAAAGCGGUUAUAAUGAAGAUCCAAAACUGAUACCGUUCUAAUCAUAUUUAGCCAUAAAGUUAACCCAGAAAAAUGGGGUUUCCUCAGUAAGCCAGGGUUAAGCCUACUAUGGCUUAAUGUAACAAAGUACAUGUUUUACAAACAGAAGAUCCCAUGUUAGCACUUCCACUUAAAGGGAUCUGAGGCAAUAAGUUUGGAAAGACCAUACAAUGUCACCACUGAUGACAUCAUCAGCGCAGAGGAGACUGAGAUGGCUGGAUCAAUUUGACUUCAUAUUUGUUACAGUCAUAUCCUGCCUUUCAUUCAGAAGCUCAAGGCAGCAACUCAGUUGAACUAGAUCAUUGUGUAGAGCAGGGGUGUCAAACUGCCGGCCCACGGACUGGUUGCAUCAUACGGAUGCCGUGUCCACCCCAGCUCCGACAAUGCAAAAAAAGUCACGAUACGUCACGUGAUGCGACGAGUUUGACACCCGUGGUGUAGAUCAAGUUCACACGUGACAGUGCAAGGGAAGAAGCCAAUAGGAAGCAAGAGAAUAGCAAACAAGAUCCCUGGGAUCACUACCCAUCAAAAACUGGGAAUACCAAAGAAUGAUCAAUUUCACCUUUCACAUUAACAAUGAAUAAUAUCACUGAGAAGAAUAUCAAAACAGUUUUACUUGCCCCGUACGUAAUUCACUUUCAGUAAGCAUACCUUUCAUUUAUUCAUGGUAACACUGCAAAGAAUAUUGGUACGUGGUCAGCAAGUUUUAUUUUUAUGAAACUGAAUUCUCAGAAUGUGUAAUUUUGCAAACUAUAUUUGUACAUAAAGUACCCCACAGAUUUAUAGCUAAUUAAAAAGUAUCAAUUACCUCUAAGCUAUUAGGAUCUGACCACAAUAUUUGGUAAUAGCCUCCUCUUAAAUGACUUUAUAAAGUAAAAAAUAAAAUGCACAGACACCAAUUUUAUCACAACUUAUCAGCUAUGAUGUUAACUGGAACCUCCAUGUUCUGAGAUAGCAUAUCUCUAAUCACCAAAUGCUGAGAACAGGGAAAGGUACUGUAAUGCAUUCAUGUCCCAUUUAUAGAGUUUGUGCAAAAUUUGGCUGGAAACAAAAUUGAAUCUAAUCUUGCAAAACUGAUAUUUUAUAUGUUAUUUAUAGCAAUUUGAAUAAUUUCAACAAUUACUCUGAUCACAAUCAACUGAAAUAAGUAUUUGUUAAUUAUAUUUCACCAAUUUUCUCAAAUGAAGUUAGUAUUCAUUAAAACACUUAUUUUUUGCAUACCAUUUUUUUCUUUUUCCCAGUGAACUAUUUGUUCAUAAAUUUUAAACUAAAACAUGCUCUUAAAUAUUUGAUUAAAGCAACAAAACUGCACUGAAAUGCAUUCUCUUAGGCUAAAAACGUAAUCUAAGAAACAUAGUUUGAUUUUGGAAUAUCAUAAAAAUAUUUCAAAUAUAUUUCAAAUAAAAAAAAUAAUGGCUCUUGGAAGAAAAUUGAUUUAAAAUUUUGUAAAGGCCUUAAGUUUUGUCUUUUAUUAUUUAAACAUCUGAAUUUAUUUUACACCUACCUAAUCCUAUUUCAUCAAUAUGACUGUAAAUUUAGUGGAAAUAUUUC